rnacentral:lncRNA from 1 species
GUGCUCGGGAGGAAGAGAAGAAAACGACUUCUAGGCUUGAAAUGCUGAAGAGAGACCAAAAUUUAGGCAAUCUACUAACCUCAAAUAUGCAACAAGAGAGACCCAACUGAAAUCCAUACCUUAUUCAAAUUUUCGAGAGAGACGAAUGCGAGAAAAAAUGAAAGAGCCGCAGAGAUUGAGAUGCAAGCGAUGGAAGUGCUCGGGAGGAAGAGAAGAAAACGGCUUCUAGGCUUGAAAUGCUGAAGAGAGACCAAAAUUAGGGCAAAAUUCCAAAAAGCCACAGAGAUUGAGAUGCAAGCGAUGGAGAAACUCGGGAGGAACAGAAAA